rnacentral:rRNA from 1 species
UACGUAGGCAGCAAGCGUUGUUCGGAAUUACUGGGCGUAAAGAGUGUGUAGGCGGUGCUCUAAGUUCGGUGUGAAAUCUCCCGGCUCAACUGGGAGGGUGCGCCGGAAACUGGGGUGCUGGAGCGCGGGAGAGGAAAGCGGAAUUCCUGGUGUAGCGGUGAAAUGCGUAGAUAUCAGGAGGAACACCGGUGGUGUAGACGGCUUUCUGGACCGUAACUGACGCUGAGACACGAAAGCGUGGGUAGCAAACAGG